GCCGUUGGGCUCCUUGAGAGCUUUGUGGCGCAGUUAACGCGAUAAGUCGACCGCCUGGGGAGUACGGCCGCAAGGUUAAAACUCAAAUGAAUUGACGGGGGCCCGCACAAGCGGUGGAGCAUGUGGUUUAAUUCGAUGCAACGCGAAGAACCUUACCUACCCUUGACAUCGAGAGAACUUUCCAGAGAUGGAUUGGUGCCUUCGGGAACUCUCAGACAGGUGCUGCAUGGCUGUCGUCAGCUCGUGUUGUGAAAUGUUGGGUUAAGUCCCGUAACGAGCGCAACCCUUGUCCCUAUUUGCCAGCGAUUCGGUCGGGAACUCUAGGGAGACUGCCGGUGACAAACCGGAGGAAGGUGGGGACGACGUCAAGUCAUCAUGGCCCUUACGGGUAGGGCUACACACGUGCUACAAUGGCCGGUACAAUGGGUUGCGAAUCCGCGAGGUGGAGCUAAUCCCAUAAAGCCGGUCUCAGUCCGGAUCGGAGUCUGCAACUCGACUCCGUGAAGUCGGAAUCGCUAGUAAUCGUGAAUCAGAAUGUCACGGUGAAUACGUUCCCGGGCCUUGUACACACCGCCCGUCACACCAUGGGAGUGGACUGCACCAGAAGUGGUUAGCCUAACUUCGGAGGGCGAUCACCACGGUGUGGUUCAUGACUGGGGUGAAGUCGUACA
rnacentral:rRNA from 2 species